AAAUGAAGGAAGCAUGGUAAUGUGCACAGAAAUUGAUCCAGUGAUGGAGGGUCACCAUGUCUGCUCCCUAUGAUGCUUCUCUUUUAUGGAGGCUUUGAAUUUGGGGCCUGGUUUAUACCCACAAUU
rfam:Populus trichocarpa scaffold_19_contig_555, whole genome shotgun sequence.